rnacentral:rRNA from 1 species
GCUGAAGAGAGGAGCUUGCUCUUCUUGGAUGAGUUGCGAACGGGUGAGUAACGCGUAGGUAACCUGCCUUGUAGCGGGGGAUAACUAUUGGAAACGAUAGCUAAUACCGCAUAACAAUGGAUGACACAUGUCAUUUAUUUGAAAGGGGCAAUUGCUCCACUACAAGAUGGACCUGCGUUGUAUUAGCUAGUAGGUGAGGUAACGGCUCACCUAGGCGACGAUACAUAGCCGACCUGAGAGGGUGAUCGGCCACACUGGGACUGAGACACGGCCCAGACUCCUACGGGAGGCAGCAGUAGGGAAUCUUCGGCAAUGGGGGCAACCCUGACCGAGCAACGCCGCGUGAGUGAAGAAGGUUUUCGGAUCGUAAAGCUCUGUUGUAAGUCAAGAACGAGUGUGAGAGUGGAAAGUUCACACUGUGACGGUAGCUUACCAGAAAGGGACGGCUAACUACGUGCCAGCAGCCGCGGUAAUACGUAGGUCCCGAGCGUUGUCCGGAUUUAUUGGGCGUAAAGCGAGCGCAGGCGGUUUGAUAAGUCUGAAGUUAAAGGCUGUGGCUCAACCAUAGUUCGCUUUGGAAACUGUCAAACUUGAGUGCAGAAGGGGAGAGUGGAAUUCCAUGUGUAGCGGUGAAAUGCGUAGAUAUAUGGAGGAACACCGGUGGCGAAAGCGGCUCUCUGGUCUGUAACUGACGCUGAGGCUCGAAAGCGUGGGGAGCGAACAGGAUUAGAUACCCUGGUAGUCCACGCCGUAAACGAUGAGUGCUAGGUGUUGGAUCCUUUCCGGGAUUCAGUGCCGCAGCUAACGCAUUAAGCACUCCGCCUGGGGAGUACGACCGCAAGGUUGAAACUCAAAGGAAUUGACGGGGGCCCGCACAAGCGGUGGAGCAUGUGGUUUAAUUCGAAGCAACGCGAAGAACCUUACCAGGUCUUGACAUCCCGAUGCUAUUUCUAGAGAUAGAAAGUUACUUCGGUACAUCGGUGACAGGUGGUGCAUGGUUGUCGUCAGCUCGUGUCGUGAGAUGUUGGGUUAAGUCCCGCAACGAGCGCAACCCCUAUUGUUAGUUGCCAUCAUUCAGUUGGGCACUCUAGCGAGACUGCCGGUAAUAAACCGGAGGAAGGUGGGGAUGACGUCAAAUCAUCAUGCCCCUUAUGACCUGGGCUACACACGUGCUACAAUGGUUGGUACAACGAGUUGCGAGUCGGUGACGGCAAGCUAAUCUCUUAAAGCCAAUCUCAGUUCGGAUUGUAGGCUGCAACUCGCCUACAUGAAGUCGGAAUCGCUAGUAAUCGCGGAUCAGCACGCCGCGGUGAAUACGUUCCCGGGCCUUGUACACACCGCCCGUCACACCACGAGAGUUUGUAACACCCGAAGUCGGUGAGGUAACCUUNNGAGCCAG